GAGUUUGAUCCUGGCUCAGGACGAACGCUGGCGGCGUGCUUAACACAUGCAAGUCGAACGGUGACCUCGGAGCUUGCUCCGGGUGAUCAGUGGCGAACGGGUGAGUAACACGUGAGCAACCUGCCCCCGACUCUGGGAGUAACCCCGGAAACCGUAGGAGGCUAAUAACCGGACGUACGAGACGCACAGGCGAUCUGUUG
rnacentral:rRNA from 1 species